CUACGACCAUAUCACGCUGGAAACACCGGUUCUCGUCCGGAUCAUCGAAGUUAAGCAGCGUCGAGCUCGGUUAGUACUUGGAUGGGUAUUCGCCUA
rnacentral:rRNA from 1 species